CCUACGGGAGGCAGCAGUAGGGAAUUUUCCACAAUGGACGAAAGUCUGAUGGAGCAAUGCCGCGUGAGGGAUGACGGUCUUCGGAUUGUAAACCUCUGUUGUAAGGGAAGAACACCCUGGAUAGGAAAUGAUCCAGGUUUGACGGUACCUUACCAGAAAGUCACGGCUAACUAUGUGCCAGCAGCCGCGGUAAUACAUAGGUGGCGAGCGUUAUCCGGAUUUAUUGGGCGUAAAGAGUGCACAGGUGGUUUAUCAAGUCAGGCGUUAAAGCCCGGGGCUCAACCCCGGUGUGCGUCUGAAACUGAUAGACUAGAGUAUCGGUGGGGUUAGUAGAAUUCCAUGUGUAGCGGUGGAAUGCAUAAAUAUAUGGAGGAAUACCAGUGGCGAAGGCGGCUAACUGAACGAUAACUGACACUUAAGCACGAAAGCGUGGGGAGCAAAUAGGAUUAGAUACCCUAGUAGUCCACGCCGUAAACGAUCCACACUAGACGUAGGGAAGACCCUGUGUCGCAGCUAACGCAUUAAGUGUGGCGCCUGGGUAGUAUGCACGCAAGUGUGAAACUCAAAGGAAUUGACGGA
rnacentral:rRNA from 1 species